AAGACCAUAUUUUCAGGAAUCAUUUCUACAGUUCAUUACUAUAGAAGUUUCUCUAUCAGGUAGAGAACCCCCAAACCAUGAAGAGAAGCAGAGCAUUCUCUCCUGAGCAUAAGGCCUAUUCUAGGUGUUGCUUUUACAAUUGCCUUUUACCACUGAUGCUCAUUCUUCUCUUUCUUUGGAAGAAUGAGAGGGAGAGGAUGUGGCCUAAGUGAU